UUAGCCCAUGGCAAUGUAGACACUUGAGAGCAGUGUGGGUGCACUAAUUGAAUAAUGUAGAUUUCUACAUUUAUUUUGCAACUCUCGGGCACGCGAAAUGAGUGGUGUGGUCAGCUGAUUAUUCAACCUUUAUUAAAGAAUAGUUUAGUCUAUUCAGCUAUUAACCCUCCCCAACUUGCAACAAGUUGCUGUUCCCAUCUCAUUCCUUUCCCUCUUUCAUGUGUCAUCAUUCUGCUCCUGAGUGGCUCGCUUGUGGGUGUGCUGGCAGGAUAUGGCAGCAUCUUCAGGUGUGCAUCAAGAAUUCUGCAUACAGUAGCACGUUUGUAUGAAGGAAGUCAAAGCGGACAACUACGAAGAUGGCAUCUCAGAGAGCGAGCUGAUCAAGGGGUCAAAUGUAGAUAUUGCCAGAUGUUCACUGUCUGCAGAACAGGCUGUGAAAGCUUUAUUGCUGGCAAAAGUCUCCAUAACCAGAGGUAAUUAAACUGUUCUGUGUUCUUUUUCUCCAAAUCUGCCUGUCUUCUUGUACAUGGAACCUGUCUCGCAUGCAUGAAUUAAAAAACCCUUAAAGAUGUCAGCUACUAAUUUUCAGAUUUACACCACAUAGUCCAUUGAAAAUGUGUGUUUAUCUGUUGCUGCCAAGUCAUGAUUUCCCUGGGGUUUAGCCUUGUAAUAACCAAGUGGUGAGACACAUAGCCCUCUGUAUUUAAAUGUUUAAGGUACACUCCGAUAGGUGUCUGCGUAUUGUCUUGUAUUGACAUUAUCUUCUAUUGUUUGUCCUAAUGUGUCUGUUUUUCAGCAUAAAGUACUCUGUAGCCACUUAGUGUGGAGACCACACACACUAAGAGUCUCUUCUUCACUUCAUCCCUCUCCCCCUUCUCCCUAAAUCCUCUAGGUUAUAUCAGCUGUUUUGGUGAACCCCUCCAGCAUCUGAAAUGGCUGAAACAGAGGGCACAGCAUGAUCAUAGGUAUGUUUUGAUGUGAGAGGAAGCCAGACCCGUCAUCGCCACCUCAUCAACUCUUCCUCGCCUUCUGGGGGCCCAAGGCUGGUUAGGAGACACCACAAUUGUGAUGAACUGAGAAUAUUAGGGUAGCACUAAUUCAUGAAUCGUAUGUUGUCUGCUGCUGUUCUUACCUCUUUCCCUUUGUCUUCUACACCUCUCUCCCCACCUUGUCUGACUUCCUCGUUUUAUAAUGCACACCAUACAGUUGGAACUUACAUUAUAA